rnacentral:lncRNA from 1 species
GGUCCGAUUGUCGAGGGGGGACUGGAUUAAAACGAACUGUGUUUAUAUCAGUUUGUUUCUUCAAGAAUUCAACGAGCGCUAUGAUGCAAAAUUCCGCCAAAAUUAGUUAUAUCAAUAUUCUGGUGACGUCCGUGUUGACAAAACGUGGCUUGCUUAAGCCCACUACUAUUCUCUAUAUGUCACGUACUAACGUUUAUAUCUGAUUAUGCUGAUAUCAGUGACAGAGAAAUGCAGUAUAAAUACCAUAUAGUAUAUAAUUGAAUUCGUUUGCAUAGAGACUUAUAUUAAACCUUCUGUAUAAUAUGUUUAUUAGACCGCGCUGUUUUACAAGAUAAAACUAAAAAUGUUCAUGAAAAGUUUGUUUCUCGAUAUGGUAAACAUAUUUAUAAAU